UUUUGUUUUGUUUUUUGUUUGUUUGUUUGUUUGCUUUUUGUUUUUUGUUUUUUGUUUUUGCUUUAGAAAAUGUGUUCAGAGCCCUGUUUGUGCCAAGCAUCCAGGCUGAUGUCUUGGUUGUGUCCCACUAGGCUGGAUUUGUUGUACAGAGCAAGGAGUGUGUAUUCAUUUGGCAACAGAUGCAUAUAGAAUUGGCAUGCAUUUGUGGUUGGCUUCCCUGAGCUCUUAUUGAAGCCCUGUUAUGAGACGGGGCAAAUAAACAGCUAUCGAAGAUUGAUCCCACAGAGCGCAGGGACUGACCUAGCUGCUUCAGAGCUUGUUUUUGUAAUAAUAAAACAGUUGUGAGCAUUUCAAAGGUAGGAGGUGAUGCUCACAGCUCUCAGUGUCAGGCAUCUGGAAGCAAAGGAAGCCACUGGGAGCUGCUGUGUACUUGUGACAUCUGCAUGAGCUGUGCUGGCCUGUGGCUUUGGGCACAGGAGUGCCCCGACAUGGCCAAGGCACUGUGCUUGUGGAAAUGCAGCACUGGUCUCUGACCUGCCCUGAACCAUCAGCAACAUUGCCAUGCUAAGCCACUAGAAGCUCCUACUUUUUCUUAAAUUGCAUUUUCUCAGUUGAAAGCUUGGAAUUCAGCAUUGCUGAUUUCUGUAAGAAGUGGUUUGGGAUUUAGUUGUUGCUGGGAGCAGUCCUGGGCUUUUCAUAGCUCCCAGCAUUGCACGGUGGCAGUUUUUCAUAUCUCCUAUUUCUAUCUGUGAGAUGUCAGAAUGGGACAUGUGCCAUGAAUGGGACACAGUUCUUUGUAUAUAAGCAGGUCAGUAACUGGUAAACAUUGCAGAUGCUUUUAAAGAUUUUUUGAAAGGCUGAAAUGGCUCAUCUUGAGAGUUUUUAUGACAGCAUUGUUGUAUUACUCCUGUAUUGUUGUGGUGCCGUUGGGCUUAGCGGUGGUGUUUAAAGUGUUUUCUGAUUAUAUAAUGAACACAAUCUUGCAGAAGAAUACACAGAAACAACUUCGAGCCAGAAAAUGGUUUUGAAAACUAGCACUUUUCUUGCACGUCUUUCAAGUUCUUUCCCUGCACAUUUCUAAAAUGUAGAAAUGGGGGGAAAAAAAGUAGGUUCAUCCUUCACGUAUCCCAUGUGUGGUACUCUGCUGUUUCUCCUUUGUAGUGUCAAUAUUUUUAGGAGGCUGGGGACAGGACUUUGUAGGAACAAAUAAGGGGGACGGGGAUCUCCUUUACUCCAGAUCUUCUUUCUACUGAUUCAAACCGUAGAAGGAUGGAUGCUCGGCAUUUCCCCAUCCAGCAGAUACAGCUGUAGGAUAAAAUCCUGAUGGCAAGCUUUGCUCUGAGUGCUUGCACCAAGUUGCCAGGAGUGCUGAAUAAGGCAGAUGUAACUACUUGUUUUGCAGUACUGCUCUUCCAUUCUCUUUAGAUGCUCUGCAGUAUAAGGCCCAGCUUGACUUGAGAUCAUGGAUUUUUAAUCGGAUGGAUAUCACUCACCAGGACUGCUGUGGAAUAACACAGUGAGGUGAAGUCACACAUCCCAAUGUUAUGCUGGGACUGGGCAAACCCCAGCAGCUGUCUUCCUGCUGUGAGAGCAGCUGAAGUCUAACAAUACUACAACAAACCCCUGAGACUCAGCAGAGAGAGGAAAAGAGCAAUGAAGUCCCAGCAAGCUGCACUGGGGCACUGAGUGCUGUGCUUCCCAGACCAGAUUUGCAGUAUUUAUGGCCACCUGUAGGUGGAGAUCUGCUCCAUGCCACGCCGUGCUGGCACUGGAAUCCUGCUCCCCAUCGCCUGGAUGAGUGAAUUGCAUUUCAGGAUCCACUUCAUUUUCCUGAGCACUCAAGAUAAACUUGACAUUCAUCCAUAUCUGAAGCAGCACGUCUCAGCCUUGUCUUGGUUAGGAAAUGACCCCGCAGAGCAACGCGGCCAGCUGCGUGCUGGGAACGGCGAGCCCGGAGGAGGGCAAGGCGCUUCCCGAAGCCCCACCUCGUGUCUCUGGCAUCAUGCGAGCAUUUGGAUUUGCGUGUGUUUCAUCUGCAAUCACGUUUUCCUGCUAAACACGCACCCGAGCACGCCGCAAGGAAAGUCCAAUCCCCAGAAACACAACCCGCCCGUGUCAGCGCUCAGCGGCAGCUGCGCGGUGCUGCCCGGCUCG